ACUUGGUGUUUUUAUGUGAGAGUUGGGCUCUGGUCCUGUACUAUUCCAAGUUUUUUGUUCUGGGGCUCUAGGUCUUUCUGCUCACUUUCACUAAACUUCAGAACUUAAUUGUUUGCCUUCUCUGGAUGGUAAACUUUCCUUCUGGCAUGUAUUAGGAAGGUAGGACCUCCUUGUUGGCCUCCUCUGGGUGUGGGGUUUAGUUGCUGGCCUGUUCUAGGAGUGGGUUGCUGAUGGAUUGCCAUAGUAAUAAAGAGUUUUUCUGAUUGCUGGCCCUGGAGGAGGGAUCUUGUUGCUGGUUUGUUCCAGGUGUGAGGCACUGCUGCCAAGUUGCUAUGGAAACAGGGUCUCUCUGCUCAUAGGUCCCUGGGUAUGGUUUUGCUUUUGUCCAUUUCUGGGGUGAGACUUCACUACUAGUUAACAAUGGAUUCAAGGCCUCACUGGUGCUGGGAAUGGUGUCACUGGCAAUAGGACCUUACUAUACUGCACAGACCUUCUCACUUGCCUAGGAGGCUGCUGGUUUGUAGGAUGCUGGGUCCUUUGUGGUGGAUUGCCACAGGUGUGGAGCCUUGGUGCAGGACCCCUGCUGUGAUGCUGAUUGCUGCUCUUGCACCUUGCUCCCUCCUAUCCCAAGAAGAAGACCAGGCUGGUAGCUGCUUCCUUCCUCUUAAAUCCGUUCUGAGAUCUUCAAAGACUCACAAGGUCGAAUGGGCUGUGUGGACCCAUAGCCAAGCACCUUUGGUGGAUAACACACUAAUAAAAAUGAAGGGGUAGACUGUAUAUUUUUGUUUGCAUGAGUUGCUGUUGAGUCAGAAUCUAACAGGAAGCUGGAGCCAUAAGCUGCCCUACAUGCAUGGCCCCAGGCCUUCUAAUCACCUGUCCUUCCGGUCCUUUGCAAUGACAUGGAGGUGUGCUAUGCUGGAGGCAGCCAGCAGAAGAGCCCUAGAUCUCCCAAUAGUUAAUGUGAUGGAAGAAACUGAAUAGCGUUGAUGCUGGUCCAAUCCUUUUAAGUAGUCCCUCUGCUCCACCUUGGUGUCAUGUAGGUAAAUUCAGUCCAGAAGAGGCCAAAUCUUGAGUGGAAUUUGUGCCUUCAUCUUUCACAGCUGUGGAGAGUUUAGACUAAUUACCAUCCUCCCAGGGAUGCUAUCAUCUUGGUAAUUUGAACUAAAGCAGGAGCCUGAAGGCUUGGAAAACCUUGAGGAAACUCUGGUCCUGAAAAGACAUCAUCACAUGUGGAAAGACUACUUCCUGCAUCAUCACCAAGUGCUUAAGAAUGUCUAAAUUAAGUACUCCUCUGGCGGGAUUUCAAAUGGCCUAAAAAAUCUGAUCACUUGCUUUUUCUUAACUGCAAAACAGAUUCUUUCCCCUUCUAUCAACCUUGCUGCUGUCAGUGCAUCUGAUGUUCAGUACCAGAAACAAUGAACAGUCUCUUAAUGAUAGCAGUGCCAAGAUUAGCACUGUCAAUAGCAAUUUGUCUCAAGAAUCUAAUAGGGCAUUUUAGCAAACCCCCUUUUCUCUCUCUCUGUAUGCAAUAUUAUAUUAACAUAUAUAGAUAUAUAUGUUAAUAUGUG